CGGGGUGCAGCNGGCGCGAAAACUUUACAAUGCACGAAAGUGUGAUAAGGGGAUCCCAAGUGCUCAUGCUCUGCAUGGGCUUUUGCUAAGGGCAGGAACCUUGGCGAAUAAGUGGUGGGUAAGACUGGUGCCAGCCGCCGCGGUAACCCCAGCGCCACAAGUGGCAAUCGCGAUUAUUGGGUCUAAAGCGUCCGUAGCCGGUUUGAUAAAUCUCUUGUGAAAUCGUUGGACUUAACCUAACGAAUGGCAGGAGACACUGUCAGACUUGAGACCGGAAGGUGUGUGAAGUAUGGUGUGGGGAACGGUAAAAUGUGAUAAUCCACACUGGACUACCAAUGGCGAAGGCAUCACACAAGUACGGAUCUGACGGUGAGGGACGAGAGCUAGGGGAGCGAUCCGGAUUAGAUACCCGAGUAGUCCUAGCCGUAAACGCUGUGAGCAAGGUGUUGCAUAUUCCUCGGGAAUAUGCGGUGUCGAAACGAAGGUGUUAAGCUCACCACCUGGGAAGUACGGUCGCAAGACUGAAACUUUAAGGAAUUGGCGGGGAAGCACCACAAGGGGUGCGGCGUGUGGUUUAAUUUAACUCAACACAGAACACCUUACUAGAAGCGACGGCAGGAUGAAGGUCAGUCUGAAGGGCUUACCCAACGAGCCGAGAGGUGGUGCAUGGCCGUCGCCCAGCUCGUGCU
rnacentral:rRNA from 1 species